UACGUAGGUGGCAAGCGUUGUCCGGAUUUACUGGGUGUAAAGGGUGCGUAGGCGGUAUGGUAAGUCAGCGGUAAAAGCCCGGGGCUCAACCCCGGCGAGCCGUUGAAACUGCCGUGCUAGAGAGGAAGAGAAGUAGGCGGAAUGCGCAGUGUAGCGGUGAAAUGCAUAGAUAUCACGCAGAACUCCGAUUGCGAAGGCAGCAUACCGGCGCCCAACUGACGCUGAGGCACGAAAGCGUGGGUAUCGAACAGG
rnacentral:rRNA from 1 species